rnacentral:misc_RNA from 1 species
ACGGGCGGCCAACCGGCCCGGACGAAACGCGGUGCGUCCCACCCUGGAAAUCAAAUUUGAAUAACCGUUUUCCUCCGUUUCGUUCUUUGCUGGUACAGCGCUCGGUUUUGGUGGUAGAAAAGUGCCAUCAUUGGGGCCCUGUUAAGUGGGCCCCCAACGCAAAGAGCUCGCCGAAAGGCGAAGUGAAUCACAAGAAGCAUGGAGCAGUUCGAGCAGCUGCUAACGUGCGCGAUUUGCCUUGACCGGUACAGAAAUCCAAAGCUGCUACCAUGCCAGCACAGUUUUUGCAUGGAACCCUGCAUGGAUGGGCUGGUCGACUACGUUCGACGACAAGUGAAAUGCCCGGAGUGCCGAGCAGAGCAUCGCAUCCCAUACCAGGGUGUUCAAGCCUUCCCAACGAACGUGACGCUCCAGCGAUUCCUCGAGCUGCACAUCGAGAUCACAGGCGAACUUCCGGAUCCGACGAGCGGUCAGACGAUGGAAAGAUGCGGUGUCUGUUCCGAAAAGAGUUACUGCUCUCACUGCGUUCACUGCGACAAAAAAUGUUGCUCCGAAUGCAAGGACGCCCACAUGGACAUCUUGAGGCGUGAGAUAACUCGCAUUAAUUCACAGGUGCGGAGGGGCCUGCAUAGACUCCAGGACGCCCUGGCCCUAGUCGAGAAGAACACCCUUGGUCUCCAAACAAACUGCACGUCCGUUUCGGAGGAGAUAGACGAGUUCUACCGACGUCUCACCAAGGCGCUGAAAGACCGCACCGACUAUCUGAGAAACGAGGUGGACCGCUAUCUGGGCACGGAGCUCAGAGGGCUCGUCCACCUCAAGGAAAAUCUCGAGCUUGAAAUUUCGAACAUACAGAGCAACUGCGACCUCGCCGAUGCCCACAUAAACGAAAACGUCCCGUGGGAUGACGCUGAGCUGCUUGACACCAAGGAACUCUUUCUACGCACCGUCGAGUUCAUCAGAAACUUCGAGUAUGAAGCAGGAGACUACAGUCGAAGGGUGCGCUUCAUGCUGCCUCACGAACCAAACCAGAUGGUGCUGCACUUAGCCGGUUACGGGGAAUUGAACAUCAAACCCGAGACCGGAAGUGGCAACAUGCUGGGAGGAUCCGGAGGACUUGCGCCUCCCGGAGGACCUCAGGGUCUUAUGAGGAGUAAAAGCGAUCACCGCCUCGCCUCUCAGUAUCGCCAACAAGAGGAUGAACGCACCCCGAGGAGCCGCUACGUUCCCGAUUACGAGUACGAAACGCCAGACUACGAGCCGCCCCGAAACAAAUCUCGGUACAGGAGUCGAUUCAUGCGCCAACGAGACGCGGAGGAUUCCGACGGAGAUACGAGGGCCGUCAGGUUCACGGGGGCGCAAACGGAAUUGACGGGGGGAGCUGCGCCGACCCGAGAGAAGGUCCUGGAUACGGAGGAUGCGGGAAAAGGACCGCUGUCUGGUAUUUUCCGGCUUACGGACUCGCCCCGUGUAAUGCUCAAGCUGCAGGAAUGCGAGCGCGUUGGGAAGAAGAAGAAGGAGGAAGUUCCCGCGGCCACGCAACCCGCGCAGCCACCGAAACCUCAGGUCCAAGUGAGGAAGGCGCCACCCGCUGCUGCCGCAAGGCAGGUAAGCGAGGACGACGAGAUAUCGAGGAUCAAAAAGCAGAACAAAAACGCACCGUCUUCCUCGGAAACGGCGUUAGCAGAAGUCCAUCCCCCAACUUCCGUCACUAUUCCGACAGUCCCUCAACCGAGGGAACCGGCGGAACGCGAAUCUGAGGAAUCGAUUAGGAGAACUUCGGCCGCUAGAAGGACAUCAGCGCAGGAUGCGCAUCCGCCGGCAACUCGAAGCGCUUCCUCCGACUCGAGCACCGGUUCGGAAAGCUCGACGGGUUCCGGUAUCCGAAGCACCGGUGCUCCGUUCACGGCCGAAGAGAUGAAGCAGAGAUACUUGUCUCGAGCACCGGCGACAGGAACGACGACAACCGUAUCGGCAUCACCAAAUCCGCCGGCGAACAUCCCCCGAGAGGCGGCGGCUCCGACGACGACGACGACGACGACGACGACAACGCCGCAGAGACCGUUUCAGAGUCGUUUUUUAGGCGGAGGUAACCGUGCCGCACCGGCACCGCCACCUCCGAGGGAAGAACCGGCGAAGAAAGAAGAGGAGGAGGAAGAGGAGACGACAAGCUCCUCCGAGGAGACCGACUCCGAAACGGAGGAGGAAUCCGAGACGGAAAAUCCCUCGACACCCACCCAGAGCUCGGCUCCAUCCGCUAGUCAAAAGACGUCCGGGGAAUCAGCAAUGGCAAGGACCGACAUCGGGGCGCUUCUGGCUCGAAGUGCGGAAGCCCGACGAGGGAGUAAGGAGGAAUCACCUUCCACCAGGUACACGUCGUCAAGGGGAAGUCCCGCCCAUUCAACAACGACAUCAUCGGCGGCGCCGACCCCGAGCGCGACCUCUGGCGGCUACACCAGCAGGUUCGUAGCAAACGAUGACAUUCACCACUUCAAUUAUUGUACCAAUAACACUCUCGACGAUAUCGUUGAAUGCGAGCCCGACGAGGUAGGCGACGACUCGCCGCCUUCAAUUAACGACGGCGAGAAAUCGAACUCAGAUAAUAAUAAUGUUACUACUACACACGUAAAAAGCUCGCUGGUAAACGUUAGUGAAAAUAAAUCGAGUGACGAAAAUGAGGAACAGCUGGCGAUUGCCACUGCGACACGAUUAAGUAACGGCGUCGAUAAAGUCGCAACCGAUCCGAACGCGUCUUCGGUCGAUUCCUCUUCCCCCGUGAUUAGAGGCGCUGCCGUCGCUUCGCCCGACCCGAAAAGUCGCCUCGUUCGCCGCGAUACCGUCGGUGAAAACGAGUUCGACUCGAACGGAUGGCGCGUGGAUUCCCCGGAGCCAAAAAACCGCCCCCCUAUUUCCGACGCGAGUGACGUCACGCCGAAGGACGUCGAAGAGGAGAAAGCUUCGGCCGAUCGGCCGAAAGGACGAACGAUCGCCUACAAAAAGCGGGAAAAGUCACCGACCCUGGGCAGCAACGGAUGGCUGAUCGACAGUUCCGACGCCGAGGAAUUCAACGUCAGUUCACGGGAACCGGAAACGACCUCGGAAGUAUGGAAGAAGAGCGCGGAGUCCGAGAGCAACGACGAGCGAGAUUCGGGGGGCGAAGAAUCUGCCGAGAAGAGUGAACCGGAAGUUGAGGAGCUAGACGAAGCUUUGGGAAAGGGGGAGAACGAUGACAAGAACAACAAUAACAGCAACAACAACAACAAUGCGGACAACGUGUCGAUGAUGAACGAACGAAACGAUCCCGAAGACGACGAGGAGGAAGAAGAGGACCGGGUGACUUCGAGCGGAAGUUCGUCGGACGAGGAUGGAUCGACGAACUCGGUUGCUAACUCCGAGGGUAAUGUCGCAGCCGGAGAAGCGCCGAUUGACGCGAAGAUAGAAGUUGGUCCGAGUGAUAAUGUGGUUUUGGAAAAUGUGAAAGGGGACUCGAAAAUAAGGGAUGAUAACGAGCUAGAUAGCGGUGACGGAAGUUUGAACGACUCGAGCACGGGAGAUAAAUUGACGUCGGUAAGGGGAAAUGAAGGUUACGAAAUUGAGGAAACGUUAGAGAGUGAAUUAUCGACGGUCAAUGAGGUCCACGAUAAGGAUGACGAGGCUGACGAGUUGACGGACGGCCAUCGCGGCUCUAAUGAUAACGAUAACGACGGCGUAAAGAGGAUCGCUAAAUAUCGUUAUGGGAAAAAUGCGCCCGAUUCGAACGAGGCCGGUGCCGAUGACGGCGAGUUAUUGAUAGGCGCAGCAGCUGUCGUAAAAAACGAUUCCUUGAAACCGAACGUUGCUUCGGGGGCAAACCAAUCCGUUAAGUCUGAAAAAAGUGACGAAAGUCUAGACAUAGGUUCCUCAACAAGAGCAGAAGCCAGGCGGCCAUGGCGGCAGCGCGUGAACCGGAUCCGGAGCCCGAGCCCCACCCGACGAUGUCGCGUUACGCGGCCCUCAAGGAACGCAGACAGCGUCUGGCGCGCUCGAGAAGCUCCCACAACUUCGGGGGCGACGACCUGGACCUGGACGACGACCCGCCCUCGCCCACAACCCAGUCGCCCAACGCCUACCUGGCGGCCAAGUACGGGGCCGGUAGCGAGCUGGCGCGAAGUCGCAGCACGCACGCCCUCAAGUCCAGGGAACCGAGUCCCGACCGUGACCACAGGGACCGGGACCGGGACCGUGGAGCCACGGAGAAGGAUGGCGCUGCCCUUAGCUCCUGGGCUCGCUACCUCAAGAACAAGUACGGAAACCGCACCACCAAGGACAAGGAGCCACCUUCCGCCUCUGCAGCGGCCGCCUCUUCGAGUGCGAGUGCCGCCUCGCGAAGGCUUUCGCUAGGGUUGCCACUGAGACACACCGGCCAGACCUCAUUCGAAUCUUCUGACGAGGACCAAAAAAACCCGUCAGGCUCCCCCACAUCCCCUACAGCAGCUCCCGCUAUUCACGCGGCAGCAGGUUCCUCCACUAGAGGUCAGUACCUGCUGAAGCGGCGACAGCUGUUCAAAUUUGGGAUGCGGGGGAGCGAAGCCGGAUGCUUUACCUGGCCGCGAGGCCUGGCCGUCGGCCCUGACAAUUCCAUCGUCGUAGCCGACAGCUCCAACCAUCGAAUU